rnacentral:rRNA from 1 species
GAUGAACGCUAGCUACAGGCUUAAUACAUGCAAGUCGCGGGGCAGCAUGGGGGUUGCUUGCAAUCCCCGAUGGCGACCGGCGCACGGGUGAGUAACGCGUAUCCAACCUGCCCUUCACCACGGGAUAACCCGGCGAAAGUCGGACUAAUACCGUAUGUUGUCCAUUGACGGCCUCCGAUUUGGACGAAAGGUUUGGCGGUGAAGGAUGGGGAUGCGUCCGAUUAGCUGGACGGCGGGGUGACGGCCCACCGUGGCGACGAUCGGUAGGGGUUCUGAGAGGAAGGUCCCCCACACUGGAACUGAGACACGGUCCAGACUCCUACGGGAGGCAGCAGUGAGGAAUAUUGGUCAAUGGGCGUAAGCCUGAACCAGCCAAGUAGCGUGCAGGAUGACGGCCCUAUGGGUUGUAAACUGCUUUUAUGCGGGGAUAAAGUGGCCCACGUGUGGGUUUUUGCAGGUACCGCAUGAAUAAGGACCGGCUAAUUCCGUG